rnacentral:rRNA from 1 species
AGUAAUGCUUGGGAAUCUAGCUUAUGGAGGGGGGUAACUACGGGAAACUGUAGCUAAUACCGCGUAGAAUCGAGAGAUGAAAGUGUGGGACCUUCGGGCCACAUGCCAUAGGAUGAGCCCAAGUGGGAUUAGGUAGUUGGUGAGGUAAAGGCUCACCAAGCCGACGAUCUCUAGCUGGCCUGAGAGGAUGACCAGCCACACUGGGACUGAGACACGGCCCAG